rnacentral:rRNA from 1 species
UACAGAGGUGGCAAGCGUUGUUCGGAAUUACUGGGCGUAAAGCGCGUGUAGGCGGCCCGAUAAGUCCGCUGUGAAAGUCCAGGGCUCAACCCUGGAAUGCCGGUGGAUACUGUCGGGCUCGAGUCCGGAAGAGGCGAGUGGAAUUCCUGGUGUAGCGGUGAAAUGUGUUGAUAUUGGAAGGAACACCGGAGGCGAAAGCGGUGUACUGGGGCUCAACUGACGCUGAGGCACGAAAGCCAGGGUAGCGAACGGG